rnacentral:rRNA from 1 species
CCUACGGGUGGCAGCAGUAGGGAAUCUUGCACAAUGGGCGAAAGCCUGAUGGAGCAACGCCGCGUGGAGGAUGAAGGCCUUAGGGUUGUAAACUGCUUUUAUAAGAGAGAAAAAUGAUGGUAACUUAUGAAUAAGCAUCGGCUAACUACGUGCCAGCAGCCGCGGUCAUACGUAGGAUCCGAGCUUUAUCCGGAGUGACUGGGGGUAAAGAGUUUGGGAGGGGGCAUCUGAAGUAGCUAGUGAAAUCCGGUGGCUCAACCAAUCAGACUAUUUGCAAAAAUGUUAAGCUAGAGUGCGUGAGGGGUAGCUGGAAUUUUUGGUGUAGGGGUGAAAUCCGUAGAUAUUAGAAGGAACACUAAUUGCGUAGGCAGGUUACUGGGACGUUACUGACACUCAUGCACGAAAGCGUGGGGAGCAAACAGGAUUAGAUACCCGAGUAGUC